rnacentral:rRNA from 1 species
CAGUAGCCGCGGUAACACGUAGGUGGCAAGCGUUGUCCGGAAUUAUUGGGCGUAAAGGGCUCGCAGGCGGUUUCUUAAGUCUGAUGUGAAAGCCCCCGGCUCAACCGGGGAGGGUCAUUGGAAACUGGGAAACUUGAGUGCAGAAGAGGAGAGUGGAAUUCCACGUGUAGCGGUGAAAUGCGUAGAGAUGUGGAGGAACGCCAGUGGCGAAGGCGACUCUCUGGUCUGUAACUGACGCUGAGGAGCGAAAGCGUGGGGAGCGAACAGGAUUAGAUACCCCGGUAGUCCCUGUCUCUUAUAA